rnacentral:rRNA from 1 species
GACGUAGGGCGCGAGCGUUGUCCGGAUUUAUUGGGCGUAAAGAGCUCGUAGGCGGCUUGUCGCGUCGACCGUGAAAACUUGGGGCUCAACCCCAAGCUUGCGGUCGAUACGGGCAGGCUGGAGUUCGGUAGGGGAGACUGGAAUUCCUGGUGUAGCGGUGAAAUGCGCAGAUAUCAGGAGGAACACCGAUGGCGAAGGCAGGUCUCUGGGCAUUAACUGACGCUGAGACUCGAAAGCGUGGGGAGCGAACAGG